AUUGAACGCUGGCGGCAGGCCUAACACAUGCAAGUCGAGCGAGUGGCGGACGGGUGAGUAAUGUAUGGGGAUCUGCCCUAUAGAGGGGGAUAACUACUGGAAACUGUCGCUAAUACCGCAUACUAUAAGAUGAGCCCAUGUGGGAUUAGCUAGUUGGUGGGGUAAGGGCUCACCAAGGCGACGAUCCCUCGCUGGUCUGAGAGGAUGACAAGCCACACUGGAACUGAGACACGGCCCAGACUCCUACGGGAGGCAGCAGUGGGGAAUAUUGCACAAUGGGCGCAAGCCGGAUGCAGCCAGGCCGCGUGUAUGAAGAAGGCCUUCGGGUUGUAAAGUACUUUCAGCAGGGAGGCGUUACCGGCAGAAGAAGCACCGGCUAACUCCGUGCCAGCAGCCGCGGUAAUAC
rnacentral:rRNA from 1 species